ACGUGCAACAUGCACACACCUGGCCGGAGGCUGCACGGCGCGGAGGGGGCUGUCGGUCACCCCCACCCCGCGGGUCGCCCCCAACACCUCCCCUCCGCCAGCGGCCCUCCAGCUGGGGCACCCCUCCGGACCCCACGUCCGCCGCGCACAGCCGGCUCCCGCUACCAGGUAUAAAAUAUUGGAAAGAAAGAAACAAACAAAAAGAGAGAAAAAAAAGAAUAGGCCUUUAACUGUGGUGUACAAAUUCAUAUAUUUGGAUAAAGAAAAAUGAAGGCCAAGAGAGGAGAGUGUGAGAGCUAAAUUGAAAAACAUUUGGAAUUCCUGGAGCAGCGGUCUUUAAACUGGGCUGAUGGAAUAAACCUGGCCUGGCAACAUCACCUCUCCUGGGCUCCAUUGUAUCAUUGCUGAGUUGGAAAGAGGGAGCAAUUGUCAGAUCCCCUGCUGGCCACUGUGGGUGAACCCCAGACCAUUAGCCCUGGACCUCAAAGGUGGUGUGUGUAUAUGAGGUGAACCUGGGAGAAAUCUCCUGUAACAGCAAGUGGAAUGUAAGGGUGCUCAGGGCAAGAGAACUGGGAGAACUCAUCAGACAAUAAACAGCCAGCCAAAGGGGGCAUUGCUCACCUCUGAGCCCCUGGCCUGGGCUGCGACCGACCUACAGAGACCACUGGAUGUCCUUCCUCAUCUAAACAGGAUAAAAUGACUGCAUUUGAAUUUCACUCACCCGAGCUGGUUCCUCCCCUCUGCCUGCAAUGACCCUGGAUUCUGGCUCACUUCUGGCCUCUUACUGAACACGUCACAGCUAAGACUAAGCACCAUGCAUCAGCUUCCACUGAUCCUGAAAGAAAAUACUGUUUGAAAAAAGCUUCUUUCGUGCACAGCUUCAAGAAAAUCAGAACACCAUUCACUUC